rnacentral:rRNA from 1 species
UCGGGAAUUUUGGGCAAUGGGCGAAAGCCUGAUCCAGCCAUGCCGCGUGUGUGAAGAAGGUCUUCGGAUUGUAAAGCACUUUAAGUUGGGAGGAAGGGCAGUUACCUAAUACGUAUCUGUUUUGACGUUACCGACAGAAUAAGCACCGGCUAACUCUGUGCCAGCAGCCGCGGUAAUACAGAGGGUGCAAGCGUUAAUCGGAAUUACUGGGCGUAAAGCGCGCGUAGGUGGUUUGUUAAGUUGGGUGUGAAAUCCCCGGGCUCAACCUGGGAACUGCAUUCAAAACUGACAAGCUAGAGUAUGGUAGAGGGUGGUGGAAUUUCCUGUGUAGCGGUGAAAUGCGUAGAUAUAGGAAGGAACACCAGUGGCGAAGGCGAUCACCUGGACUGAUACUGACACUGAGGUGCGAAAGCGUGGGGAGCAAACAGGAUUAGAUACCCCCGUAGUCCCUGAGCGGGCUGGCAAGGCGCAU